AGAACAAUCCUAUCUUUUGGUUUAUACUUUUUUCUUUGAAUUUUGUAAUCUUAGCAUUGAAUGUCACUGCAGAGAAGUCUAAUGCCAAUCUAAAACCUCCAACCUUGUAAGUGACCUGCCUUCUGCUCCAUUAUCUGAAGUAUUCCCUCCAUAUUUUUAAAGAUUUAAAAGGCACCUGCAUGUUACCUAAAACUCAAAGUGCUCUAUGAACACAGGUAGUAUCUUCUUUUUUUUCUGGAAUCAGCAAGUCCUUGAAAUAUACAAAAUUUACCUGACAGCAUUUUGGUGGAGUUUUCUAAGGUGAAAGACUUACAUCCUUAACACAGGCGUCUUGUUAUAUCCUUCUCUCCAUGUCCAAGUGGUAUAAAGUCUAAAGUGCAAAGGACCAGAAAGAUGUAAGGAGAGCUAUGAAGACAACUCUGGACUGAUUUUAACAGGGAACAAGAAAGUUGCCAUAGCCCUUAGGCAAACUGGUAAAGAAGAAGACAAACAUUAUUUUAUUAUAUUGUGUGGCUAAAUAUAGGAAUUUUCAUUAGAUUCCCAGGUAGAAAACACUGGAAGCUUUGCCAGUUAUUAAGUUUGUUUACUCCCAUCAUACAUUCUGGGAAUGAAAAAAUAUACAUAGAAUAAAUUCGUAGUCUCAUUGGACCCACUGCAAGAAAGAAUCAAACCAAGACUCCAACAAUCAUCAAAAGCCUGCAC
rnacentral:lncRNA from 1 species